GACGAACGCUGGCGGCGUGCUUAACACAUGCAAGUCGAACGGAAAGGCCCCUUUGGGGGUACUCGAGUGGCGAACGGGUGAGUAACACGUGAGUAACCUGCCCUUGACUUCGGGAUAACUUCAGGAAACUGGGGCUAAUACCGGAUAGGAAUCCUUGCUGCAUGGUGGGGGUUGGAAAGCUUCGGCGGUUUUGGAUGUACUCGCGGGUUAUCAGCUUGUUGGUGGGGUAGUGGCUUACCAAGGCUUUGACGGGUAGCCGGCCUGAGAGGGCGACCGGCCACAUUGGGACUGAGAUACGGCCCAGACUCCUACGGGAGGCAGCAGUGGGGAAUAUUGCACAAUGGGCGGAAGCCUGAUGCAGCAACGCCGCGUGCGGGAUGACGGCCUUCGGGUUGUAAACCGCUUUCAGCAGGGGCGAAGCUUGUGGUGACGGUACCUGCAGAAGAAGCACCGGCUAACUACGUG
rnacentral:rRNA from 1 species